CGUGCAGGCGGUUCGGUAAGUUGGAUGUGAAAGCUCUUGGCUCAACUGAGAGAGGUCAUUCAAUACUACCGGACUAGAGGAUGGUAGAGGGAGGUGGAAUUCCGAGUGUAGUGGUGAAAUGCGUAGAUAUUCGGAGGAACACCAGUGGCGAAAGCGGCCUCCUGGACCAUAUCUGACGCUCAGACGCGAAAGCUAAGGGAGCAAACGGGAUUAGAGACCCCGGUAGUCUUAGCUGUAAACGAUGUUGACUUGGCGUCGGCGGGUUUAAAUCCGUCGGUGCCGUAGCUAACGCGAUAAGUCAACCGCCUGAGGACUACGGCCGCAAGGUUAAA
rnacentral:rRNA from 1 species